rnacentral:lncRNA from 1 species
UGGGGACACCAACCACCGGGGACACUGGUGACCAACUGGAGUCAUCUCCAUUCCCCACCAGUGACCAACUGGAGUCAUCUCCAUUCACCACCACCAGUGACCAACUGGAAUCACCUCCAUUCACCACCACCACCAGUGACCAACUGGAGUCAUCUCCAUUCCCCACCACCACCUCUCUGGCCCAACCAUCCCACCAGAGUCCACCCAGGAGUUGGUUUCUCCAGGAGAACGUGGUGGAGGAACCAC